rnacentral:lncRNA from 1 species
UCUUUCUCUUUGGCCUCAAGAGUGGGUGCAAAGUUGAGGGGGUUGAAGAUGCCGCCGGGGUACCCACAUUCAUUUGGAGGCAAGCUGUAUUGUUUGAAGAUGGGAUCUUGGUUAACGCAUCCUGGGUUCUUAAUAUCUUGCCACCUUCUUAUCUCGACGUAAUGGAACAGUAUGAACUCGAUCACAAAGAGGGUUGAUGACGACGCAAAGUAUUCUGCUUUGCCUGCAUCAUACCACUGAGGAGCAUUGAUGAUUCCGAUCUUUGUGAAAACCUCCGGCAGUAGCAUUCCGGCAACGCCCAACAUGGCCCAACGACCAUUCACAAGCUCAGCCUGAACGAACCAUCUCAGGUUCUCAGGGUCCUCAGCAAGCCCGAGUGGGUCAAACCCGUUAUCACCUGGAAGGCUGAGCCAUACAAGACAAGGUUUCAGUCAAUGCUAAUUGAGAGCAUUAGCUAAGAGAAAAGCUAUAAAACAUGUUUUCUUUUUCACCUGCCAUUUAGAUAAGAUGGAGAAGGCAAACCAGGUAACCACUCUCCUUUCUUGGCUUCAACCUUGAAGCUAGGAGAUGACGAUGCCACUGGUUUGAUGGACAAUUCUCUGUUCAGUUUACUUGGAGCCCCAGCGAGAAACCUCGACUUAUAAGCACAUGGCCGGAAAAC